rnacentral:lncRNA from 1 species
CAUCAUGGUGGGCACCCAUGGGCCCAACUGGGAUGGACCCAGCAUUGUAGGCACCCAUGGGCCCAACUAGAACCAACUGGGAGUACUGGGACGGCCCCAUCAUGGGGGACACCCAUGGGCCCAACUGGGACGGUCCCAGCACGGUGGGAACCUAUGGGCCCUACUGGGAGUACUGGGAUGGUCCCACCACGGUGGGCACCCCUGGGUGCUGGGGGACACCCUUGGGUGCCGUUGGCUGUGACUCACCCGGUGGCCAGCGCGUCCUUGGUGUCCCCUUCUUCAUCGUCGGUGGCCUCCAGCUUGGGCCUCUUGGCACCCGGACCCAGCGUCUCCCCGGGGCGCUUGGGUGCCCCCCCUUGGGUGCUGGGUGCCCCCCCUUGGGUGUUGGGCGCCCCGGCGGGUCCCCAGGGUGCCCCCCAGGCGGCCUCGCCCAGGGCGGCGCUGUGCCGGGUGGCGCUGAGGCGGGUGACGCGGCCGUGGGUGCUGGCGCAGAAGGUGGCGCCGCGGCGGGCGGCGUCGGCGUGGUGGCGCCCGUGGGUGCCGGCGUGGCCGUUGGUGGCAUCUCCGAGGAGGCGGUGGCCAUCGACGAUGCGCCCAUGGGUGCCACCCCCGCGGGUGCCGCGUCCACCGGUGACCUCCCCGUAGGCGCCACCUCCGUCACCCGCGUCCGCGUCCCCGCCGCGGGGCACCCCGGGGUGGCCGUCCCGUGCCCCCCACCCCCCGGCAGGGCGCCGGGCGGGCUCUUCCGUCACCCACUGGGCGCCACCGCCGCUGUCGCCGUUGACGCCCGCCCCCGCGGGCCGCGUGGCGCUGGCCUUGGCGCCGUCCCUCGCCAUGUUCUUCAGGACGAAGUCGACGAUGUCCGAGGGCAGGUCCUCGGCGGCGGGCGGUGGCACCGGCGGCGGGGGCGGGGGCGGCGGCACCGGGGGCGCCCCGUCCCGCCGUCCCCGCGCCCCCUUGUCCCCGUCGUCCACCCCGUCCAGCUGGUCGAUGUGGGGCAGCGGGAGGGGACACGGCGACGGCGGGGGCGGCUCCCGCGUCACCACGGUGCGGGCGAAGCGGUAGUAGCGCCCCCGGGGGCCGCCCCGCGCCCCCUCCUCGUCCUCGCUGCUGUCCCCCGUCACCGGGCCCGGGGGGACGAGGAGCCCGGCGGCCAGGGCCAGCUCGGUGACGUCCAGCUCGUCCAGCGCCAGGUCCGGGCCACCCGGCGGGGACAGCGGCUCCAGAGGGGACGGCGGCGUCGGGGGGGGGCGCGGUCCCACGGGUGACGUUGGCCUCAUGGGGGACGCUGGUCCCGUGGGUGACGCUGGUCCCGCGGGUGACAUUGUCCUCAGCGGUGACGUUGGCCUCAGGGGUGACGUUGGCCUCAGGGGUGACGUUGAUCCCAUGGGUGACGUUGGCCUUAUGGGUGACAUUGAUCCCAUGGGUGACGCUGGCCUCAGGGGUGACCUUGAUCCCAUGGGUGACGCUUGUCCGAAGACCAUUGGUGGCCCGCUGGGUGACGAUGGCCCGUUGGUUGAUGGUGGCCCGCUGGGUGACAGCACCCCAUUGGUUGACCUUGGCCCGCUGGGUGACAAUGGCUUGCUGGUUGACGUUGGCCCGUUGGGUGACAUUGGCCCGUUGGGUGACGUCCAGUUGGGUGACGAUGGCCCGUUGGGUGACGAUGGCCCACGAGGUGACAUGGGCCAGUCGGGUGACGCUGGCCCGUUGGGUGACGGUGGCCCGUUGGGUGACAUCCAGUCAGGUGAC